GGGGGCGACUGGUUUCGACAUGGUGGGUCUGAGGUGAGGAGCAGGUCGUGGUCUCCUUUCCACGUUAAACAGGGGUACUGUCAAAAUUAAUUGGCAAGACUCAAACUUCUGGGCGUCAACUCGCCCUCGCCGCAUAACAUAAGUCGGCGCGCCAAUUCUAGGAGUUUUCCCGCCCUGGAUGCGGUGUCAUUUUAGGGAAAUGCUCUUCGGCACGUAGCCGGUAUGGCCGAAGCUAAGAUUGAACCGACUCGAGAACGCAACGCACGUCAUUGCGCCGAGCGAACUUUAAAUCCGAGCACUGACUAAGCUUGUAGAGCCUGACCAGGGAUUCGCUAUGGACCGGAGUUCGAUUCUCCGCGCCUCCACCA
rnacentral:tmRNA from 1 species